GUUUAAUCAAUGUCACAGCUCAGCACAGUGCGCGACUAACGCCACUGUCAUUCCUCGCUUCAGAUUUGCCUGGCUAAGUUAUGCAAUGCUCCGAAGCAUACCUUGGAAUUCUUUCCAGAGGAUCUGAAUGCAGGUGUGUGACAGCGUUCACACUACUGCCAGGAAAGCAGACUUCUUUUCAUCCUUUUUCAGGCUGGACUAAAAUUACCUAGUGUGACUGCACGUAGUUCGCUGCAUUCGGAAUUACAGCGUGUCAACGUGAGAAAGCCUCUUCAGAUGGCUGCCACAAAGAGUACAUCAACGGCCGGGGUUUCUGAAGUCUCAAUAAAUUACCAAGUGUAAGUGAGUAAAACCAGGGGCUGUUCGUAUUUUUCUCUUUUUUUAAGGCAAAACUGAACAGCACGCAUUUCGCUGCUCUGCAUCAUCUAAGGAAAAAAUCCUCAGUUUUAAUGAGAAUUAGUCAACAGCGAGGAUCAUCACCAGGAAGGGUUUUACUGUUUUUCACCUACUCUUGCUUCAGUGGAUUACCGAGAGAGAAAGGCCAGUCAUUUGGAAGAUUCUGUAACAUUAUUAUCCUCACCGAUAAACUACUUCAUCAAGGAACUGUUCAUGCUCCUGUCUGGUCUGUCUGAGUGAGGAGAGCAGCCCCUUCAUGAAGAUAAAAGCCUGGUUUGCCACUGAAACGACGAGUAAGAAGCAUGUCUGAUGACAUUUUAUUCCUGAUGCAAUGUAGGCUAGCUGCCAGAAUACUGGUGAAGGUAUUUGCAGGAAAAAUGGGGACCUCUGCCAUCACAACACUGGAAGAUGUAAAAAGGCAGGAGGA